rnacentral:rRNA from 1 species
UACGUAGGGCGCAAGCGUUGUCCGGAAUUAUUGGGCGUAAAGAGCUCGUAGGCGGCCUGUUGCGUCCGCUGUGAAAUCCCGGGGCUCAACCCCGGGCGUGCAGUGGAUACGGGCUGGCUGGAGGCAGGCAGGGGAGAACGGGAAUUCCUGGUGUAGCGGUGAAAUGCGCAGAUAUCAGGAGGAACACCGGUGGCGAAGGCGGCGA